rnacentral:tRNA from 11 species
GGAGGAGUAAUCAAGCCUGGCCAAAGAUGCAGGACUUAAGAUCCUGUCUCUCAGGAGUUCGUGGGUUCAAAUCCCACCUCCUCCA